GCGGAUAUGACGGAAUUGGCAGACGUGCAGGAUUUAGGUUCCUGUGCCCGAUGGCGUGUGGGUUCAAAUCCCACUAUCCGCA
rnacentral:tRNA from 1 species